AGACACACAGGGACCUCAGAACAAAGAUAAGGCAUCACGGACACCACACCGGGCACGAGCUCACAGCAGCUCAUGUGCUGCGCUCCCAGCGUAGAGACACCACGGUGAUACCAGUCUCCAAGGAGCAUGUCACCGUCUACCUGGGCUUGCAUGAUGUGCGAGACAAAUCGGGGGCAGUCAACAGCUCAGCUGCCCGAGUGGUGCUCCACCCAGACUUCAACAUCCAAAACUACAACCACGAUAUAGCUCUGGUGCAGCUGCAGGAGCCUGUGCCCCUGGGACCCCACGUUAUGCCUGUCUGCCUGCCAAGGCUUGAGCCUGAAGGCCCGGCCCCCCACAUGCUGGGCCUGGUGGCCGGCUGGGGCAUCUCCAAUCCCAAUGUGACAGUGGAUGAGAUCAUCAGCAGUGGCACACGGACCUUGUCAGAUGUCCUGCAGUAUGUCAAGUUACCCGUGGUGCCUCACGCUGAGUGCAAAACUAGCUAUGAGUCCCGCUCGGGCAAUUACAGCGUCACGGAGAACAUGUUCUGUGCUGGCUACUACGAGGGCGGCAAAGACACGUGCCUUGGAGAUAGCGGUGGGGCCUUU
rnacentral:misc_RNA from 1 species